rnacentral:rRNA from 1 species
AUUGAACGCUGGCGGCAGGCCUAACACAUGCAAGUCGAACGGUAACAGGAAACAGCUUGCUGUUUCGCUGACGAGUGGCGGCCGGGUGAGUAAUGUCUGGGAAACUGCCUGAUGGAGGGGGAUAACUACUGGAAACGGUAGCUAAUACCGCAUAACGUCGCAAGACCAAAGAGGGGGACCUUCGGGCCUCUUGCCAUCGGAUGUGCCCAGAUGGGAUUAGCCAGUAGGUGGGGUAACGGCUCACCUAGGCGACGAUCCCUAGCUGGUCUGAGAGGAUGACCAGCCACACUGGAACUGAGACACGGUCCAGACUCCUACGGGAGGCAGCAGUGGGGAAUAUUGCACAAUGGGCGCAAGCCUGAUGCAGCCAUGCCGCGUGUAUGAAGAAGGCCUUCGGGUUGUAAAGUACUUUCAGCGGGGAUGAAGGGAGUAAAGUUAAUACCUUUGCUAAUUGACGUUACCCGCAGAAGAAGCACCGGCUAACUCCGUG